rnacentral:lncRNA from 1 species
CAACAAAGUGACGUAAAUCAAGGUUAUGUCAAACUAAAAUAACAUAAGUGCAAAUUCUGCAACAUCCCUAUAAAUGAAGGUUUCAGCUAUUUCAAUAAACAAAAUUGAAAAUUAACAAGAUUGUAUGAUGAGUACCAGACAUUGAUUGAGCAUCUCUGAUUCUAACUACAUUCAGGUCAUGUAUCAUCAUAGUUUACAGAUCCUCAUCCACAAAUCAAACAAAAGCAUGCAACAUAUACAAUGAAGAAGCUAUUAUAUGCUACUAAUCUAGACAAUAUAGAGCAUAACAUACAAUAUUGCCGAACUGUAUAACUCCGAGAAUUCUGGUGGAUGAUAUCUGGAUAAGUUAUUAUUGUCCAAAAGCCUGUAACGUCAAGUCAACAAGUAGACACCACCUUAAUACAA